CCGGGCUGCUGUGUUUUGGGCAGCCAUGGAGACUGCUGGAAUUGAGGUUUUUUUUUUUUUUUUUUUAUAAAGGAUUUUAUUUAUCCACUCAUGAGAGACACAGAGACAGAGGCAGAGACACAGGCAGAGGGAGAACCAGGCUCUCCACGGGACUCCCAGGAUCCCUGGGAUCACAACCCGAGCCAAAGGCAGACGCUCAACCACUGAGCCACCCAGGCACCCCUGGAAUUAUUAUGUCUCCAUUCUGCUGUGUACUUGUGAAGGCAAAGGGAGUCUGUUGCUGAUUCUUGAGGACUGUGAAACCCAUCUUGAAGAUUCUCUUGCCAGUGAUGUGAUGGAUACAGUGGACGGGGAGGAGCUGGAUGUAUAUUUUCAUGGUGUAAGGUUUGGGUUGCUAACUACCUCUGAUUCAGGAAGAAAAGAAGCCAGGCAGCUAUGGCAGCUCCAAGGUGCUGCUGGCAUUGUCCCAAAUAUUGCUGGGAAGUUGGGUGAGGGAUCAACAUGUAUUAUUUCAUGGAUGAAACGAGACUUUGGACUGAAGAUAAACUAAUUUACUGCAACUCUUAACGGCCACAAUAGAUGGUUGAGGGCAUCGAGAUUGCACUAAAAUCUCUUUAAAUAGGUAGCUAAUGGAUGGUUGCUUUUUUGGCUAUGAACAAAUGAAUGCAUCAAAA
rnacentral:lncRNA from 1 species